AUUGAACGCUGGCGGCAUGCCUUACACAUGCAAGUCGAACGGUAACAGGGAGCUUGCUCCGCUGACGAGUGGCGAACGGGUGAGUAAUGUAUCGGAACGUACCUUUCAGUGGGGGAUAACGUAGCGAAAGUUACGCUAAUACCGCAUAUUCUGUGAGCAGGAAAGCAGGGGAUCGCAAGACCUUGCGCUGAUUGAGCGGCCGAUAUCAGAUUAGCUAGUUGGUGAGGUAAAGGCUCACCAAGGCGACAAUCUGUAGCGGGUCUGAGAGGAUGAUCCGCCACACUGGAACUGAGACACGGUCCAGACUCCUACGGGAGGC
rnacentral:rRNA from 1 species